rnacentral:lncRNA from 1 species
GCGGUGGUGGGCUAUGGUGAAUCACCGGAGGAGGUGGCGAAGAUGGCGGCGGACUGUAGUGAACGGACGGUGGUGGUGGAGGUGAGUUGUAGUAAACAGGGGAUGGCGGAGGACUGUAAUGUACGGUCGGAGGCGGAGGUGGAGGUGGUGAGUGAUCUAUGCAAGGUGGCGGAGGGGAAUAUACUGGCGUUGGUGGAGGUGGUGGGGAUGGAUAGUGAUAAACCGGUGGUGGUGGUGAGUGCGGUGGUGGAGGUAACCAGUAAUGUGGCGGCGGAGGGGGUGAGCUGUAAUAGUAAGGGGUUGGUGGUGGUGAAAAUUGAGGUGGCUGUGAGGGAGAUGGUUGUGGUGGCUGCGGUGGGUAGUAUGUCGGCGGCGGAGGUGGUGGUGAAGGAGAAUAUGUUGGUGGCGCGGGUGAUGGUGGACAGUGACCUGCCGACGGUGGAGGUGAUGGAGGAGAGUAACCAGUCGACGGUGGUGGUGGUGAUGGAGGAGAGUAACCCGUCGACGGUGGUGGUGGUGGGGGAGAGUAACCCGUCGACGGCGGUGGUGGUGGGGGAGAGUAACCCGUCGACGGCGGUGGUGGUGGGGGAGAGUAACCCGUCGACGGUGGUGAUGGUGGGGGAGAAGGACCCGUCGACGGCGGUGGUGAUGGAGGAGGGUGACCUGCGGACGGCGGUGGUGAUGGAGGAGAAAACUUAGUCGGCGGCGAGGGUGAUGGCGGGGAGUGACCUGUCGAUGGUGGUGGUGAGGGAGGAGAGUAAACCGGAGACGGAGGAGGAAAUGGAACUACACCAGGAGGACUAGGAGAACCAGGCGGUGACGGUGGAGUUGACGGCGGAGACGGACCAAUGCUUGGAGGACUCGACGGCGAAACAGGAGCAGGAAUUGGAGAAAUCGGAGACGGAGGCACCAUCAUCGGAGGACUAGCUGGCGAAAUAGAAGGUGAAGGAGGUGAACCACCAGG